UACGGAGGGUGCGAGCGUUAAUCGGAAUUACUGGGCGUAAAGCGGGCGCAGGUGGUUCGUCAAGUCUGAUGUGAAAGCCCCGGGCUCAACCUGGGAACUGCAUUGGAAACUAGCGGGCUUGAGUGUGGCAGAGGGGGGUGGAAUUCCACGUGUAGCAGUGAAAUGCGUAGAGAUGUGGAGGAACACCGAUGGCGAAGGCAGCCCCCUGGGCUAACACUGACGCUCAUGCACGAAAGCGUGGGGAGCAAACAGG
rnacentral:rRNA from 1 species